GUAGCCACGAUGAGUUAAUACCAUAAAUCGUAACUGCAAACUCGAAUCUUAGAGUAUAAGCCUUAAACUCAAACUCCUAUGUUUUUUUUAAAAUUUAAAAAAAAAACUUGAAGCGCCUCUGUAAUUUACUGAAGUAGAAACACUUCAACAUGUGAGUUUAUUUCGAUGAUCGAAAGGAGGAUCUAAUUGCACAAAUAAUCAUUUUAUUUUACACUAAUAUAAUAUUUACAAAAUAUCAAAAAACAUUUUCAUAUACAAUUGUCAGUUGUUCGAAAAAGGGGUCACUUCGUCGGCUAUUAUCCAUUUCAGACCAGGAGAACGAAAUUGACUGUUGUCCUUGCAGAAAGGAAUUUAUACCUUGUUGAAAAUUUAUCCCGUUUGUGUAUUCCACAAGCAUAGGUUGAAAGUGAGUAUGAAACCAACAUUGCACACUCGAAGGAAAGUAAAACUGGCCCUUGCGUUCGACUCUGAGCAAAAGGUCUUUCUCCGAUGUUUCUAGGUUGCAUUGUAUCCCCCAUAUACGUUUUCCUUCUUUUAUGCUUACAUUAUGGGAUGAUAUAUCUGAACUCUUCCACAGAGCAACUGGAUUUAUGUUUCGUCCCUUAGAGAAGGCAUGCAAUGAUAGAAUCAAAGAUGAAUUUUUUUUAAUAUUCAAACAUUUAAAACUUUUAAAAAAAGUGGUACCAGUAUUAAAUUCCACAGCUUUCAAAUAAUUCGGGAACUGUUUUAAAAUUUCGAUAUAAUAGACGUAACGUAUUUGCGAUGAAAUGGUAAGACCGUGCCCUCGAACCAUUCUUUUUUCAGUAUAUAGUUCAAGACUUUGCUUGGCUGUCAAGCCUCCGAAAGCUACCAAGUAGCUACAUAUUACAGUUCCUGUACGUCCUUUUCCGGCCUUACAAUGAACUACCAAUGUCAACAAAGGUUGCGUUUGAAAGAGUGCAUCCAUAUUCAUAACAAUAGCCCAUAAAAAGAGAAGCGGAGGUGGAUUAUGAUCUUGAAAUCCAUAAUUUAUGACAUUUGGUUUAAAUAAUUCCAAAUGGUAAACUGUUUCUUCGGCACAUAAAUUCAACAAUAUCCAGUUGUCUUUCAAUUGCGUUGUAAGAUAUUUAAAUACAUCCAAUUCGUCGUUUCGAUAUAACUUAUGUAUUCCAGCAGCCGGUGUAGACAUAGCAAUUACCUUGGAAGUAAUAUAAACCAUAUCUAAGUAAGCAAAGCUACGAUUCACUUUUUCUUGUUUGAGGCCUUUUCGACCCCUCGAAACUACUGAUCGAAGUAUAUUCAUGGAAAAUUACAUGUUUAAUUAGUUAUUUGUAAUAUACUAGGAUAAUACUGC